GAACAUAGAUGUACAGGUUUUGAUCAAAAAAGGGGGAGAAAAUUGAAGAACAAAGGGGAGAAGAGGAGAAGAAAAGAACUUCGAGGACAUUAACAUUGAAGGUAUAAGAAUGACUAAUAUUUUGUUUUUCUACUUCGUUUUGGAUAAUUUGUUUUGCAGGAAAUCAAGACUUCAAAACUCCUAAUUGCGUCUAAGUCAUAGAGUCUGUUUUAGGAGUUUUGAUGUAAUUUUGAGUUUCAAAUUGUAUUUGGAUUACACGCGAGGAGUUCAAUAUUUUGGUGAUGACAAUUGAACUUCGUUUUUCUUUAAGAUGUAAUUUUUGAAUUGUUGUGAGUUUUGUCACGAAAUUGCCAAAGGGGGAGAUUGUUAAGUCUUGUGUGUUGGCAAGUUUCGUGGAUUGAGUCGGAGUCUUGAAGGAUCGGUGCGUAUUGUCGAAGAUCGAAGAAUCCAAGAUUUCGAAGAAAUCAAAAAAUAACUCACAACGUGAAUCACGAUGCUCAGAUAAAAUUUUAAUUCAUGUUAUGGUGAUUCAUACUUAAUUAUAGGCAUUAGAAUCAUAUAAUUAAAGUUUAGUGGAUUAGAAAGUGUAUUGGAACUUUG
rnacentral:lncRNA from 1 species